ACCAGGCUGGCUCAGUCGGUAGAGCAUUUGACUCUUGAUCUCCUGGUUGUGAGUUCAAGAGCCCCACGCUGGGUG
rnacentral:tRNA from 1 species